GACGAACGCUGGCGGCGUGCCUAAUACAUGCAAGUCGAGCGAACACAAGAGGAGCUUGCUCCUCUUGGUUAGCGGCGGACGGGUGAGUAACACGUGGGCAACCUGCCUGUAAGACUGGGAUAACUUCGGGAAACCGGAGCUAAUACCGGAUAAUCCUUUUCCUCUCAUGAGGAAAAGAUGAAAGUCGGUUUACGCGUACACUUACAGAUGGGCCCGCGACGCAUUAGCUAGUGGGUGAGGUAACGGCUCACCAAGGCGACGAUGCGUAGCCGACCUGGGAGGGUGAUCGGCCACACUGGGACUGAGACACGGCCCAGACUCCUACGGGAGGCAGCAGUAGGGAACCUUCCGCAAUGGACGAAAGUCUGACGGAGCAACGCCGCGUGAGCGAUGAAGGCCUUCGGGUCGUAAAGCUCUGUUGUUAGGGAAGAACAAGUAUCGGAGUAACUGCCGGUACCUUGACGGUACCUAACCAGAAAGCCACGGCUAACUACGUGCCAGCCGCCGCUGUAACAC
rnacentral:rRNA from 1 species